AAUAGAUACCCUGGUAGUCCAUGCCGUAAACGUUGGGAACUAGGUGUGGGUCUCAUUCCACGAGAUCCGUGCCGCAGCUAACGCAUUAAGUUCCCCGCCUGGGGAGUACGGCCGCAAGGCUAAAACUCAAAGGAAUUGACGGGGGCCCGCACAAGCGGCGGAGCAUGCGGAUUAAUUCGAUGCAACGCGAAGAACCUUACCAAGGCUUGACAUAUACCGGAAACAUCUAGAAAUAGGUGCCCCGCAAGGUCGGUAUACAGGUGGUGCAUGGUUGUCGUCAGCUCGUGUCGUGAGAUGUUGGGUUAAGUCCCGCAACGAGCGCAACCCUCGUUCUAUGUUGCCAGCACGUGAUGGUGGGGACUCAUAGGAGACUGCCGGGGGUCAACUCGGAGGAAGGUGGGGAUGACGUCAAAUCAUCAUGCCCCUUAUGUCUUGGGCUUCAGCAUGCUACAAUGGCCGGUACAAGGGCUGCGAAACCGCAAGGUGGAGCGAAUCCAAAAAACCGGUNUCAGUUCGGAUUGGGGU
rnacentral:rRNA from 1 species